rnacentral:rRNA from 1 species
AGAGCGAACGCUGGCGGCAGGCUUAACACAUGCAAGUCGAGCGCCCGUAGCAAUACGGGAGCGGCAGACGGGAGAGUAACACGUGGGAACGUACCCUUCAGUUCGGAAUAACCCAGGGAAACUUGGACUAAUACCGAAUACGUCCGUAAGGAGAAAGAUUUAUCGCUGAAGGAUCGGCCCGCGUCUGAUUAGCUUGUUGGUGAGGUAACGGCUCACCAAGGCGACGAUCAGUAGCUGGUCUGAGAGGAUGAUCAGCCUAACUGGGACUGAGACACGGCCCAGACUCCUACGGGAGGCAGCAGUGGGGAAUAUUGGACAAUGGGCGCAAGCCUGAUCCAGCCAUGCCGCGUGGAUGAUGAAGGCCCUAGGGUUGUAAAGUCCUUUCGACGGGAAGAUAAUGACGGUACCCGUAGAAGAAGCCCGGCUAACUUCGCGCCAGCAGCCGC